rnacentral:rRNA from 1 species
UGGGGAAUAUUGCACAAUGGGGGAAACCCUGAUGCAGCAACGCCGCGUGAGUGAUGACGGUCUUCGGAUUGUAAAACUCUGUCUUUAGGGACGAUAAUGACGGUACCUAAGGAGGAAGCCACGGCUAACUAC